GCACUUUGGUCCUCCCUCAGGAUGAAUGGAGACCAGACAUUAGAUGUUUAUGCUGGAGAAAAGCAGGAGUUCAUUCAGCACUUCUCUGAGAUUGUCAGGAUGCUGACUGAGGAUGAGAUGGGGCACCCAGAGACAGGAGAUGCUAUUGCCAAGCUUAAGGAAGUCCUGGAGUACAAUGCCAUUGGAGGCAAGUACCAUUGGGGUGUGACGGUGCUGGUAGCAUUUCGGAAGCUGGUGGAACCAAAGAAAUAGGAUGCUGAUAGUCUCCAACGGGCCCUGACUGUGGGCUGGUGUGUGGAACUGCUGCAAGCUUUCUUCUUGGUAGCAGAUGACAUCAUGGAUUCAUCUCUCACCCCGUGGGGGGAGAUCUGCUGGUAUCAGAAGCUAGGCAUAGGUUUGGAUGCCGUCAAUGAUGCUAUCCUUCUGGAAGCAUGUAUCUACCACCUGUUAAAGCUCUAUUGCCAGUAACAGCCCUAUUACCUGAACCUUAUUGAGCUCUUCCUGCAGAGUUCAUAUCAGACUGAGAUCGGGCAGACUCUGGACCUUAUCACAGCCCCCCAGGGUAAUGUGGAUCUUGGCAGAUUUACUGAAAAGAGGAAAAAAUCUAUUAUCAAGUACAAGACAGAUUUCUACUCCUUCUACCUUCCUGUAGCUGCCGCCAUGUACAUGGCAGGCAUUGACGGGCAGAAGGAGUACAGUCACACGAAGAAGAUCCUGCUGAAGAUUGGCGAGUUCUUUCAGAUCCAGGAUGAUUACCUUGAUCUCUUUUGGGACCCAAGUGUGACAGGCAAGGUUGGCACUGACAUCCAGGACAACAAAUGCACUGGCUGGUGGUUCAGUGUCUGCAACGGGCCACUCUGGAGCAGCUCCAGAUCUUGCAGGAGAAUUAUGGACAGAAGGAGGCAGAGAAGGUGGCCCGGGUGAAGGCCCUGUAUGUGGAGCUGGGUCUCCCUGCUCUGUUCUUGCAGCAUGAGGAAGACAGCUACAGCCGCCUUAUGAGUCUCAUUGAGCAGUUUGCGGCACCCCUGCCCAAGGUCAUCUUCCUGGAGCGAGCACGCAAAAUCUACAAGCGGCAAAAGUGA